AAAGAAAUUUAAUAUGCCCUACCCAAAUUCCCCCUCCCGCUCACCCAAAUUCUCCCUCCCGCUUUCCCCCAAAUACUAGUUCCCUCCAAAUUCUAUUUUUCCAUUAAAUCAUAUUCCCGCUCCCUAACCCUAUUAACCUCGGAUUCAUUGCCCAUUUCUCCUCACACGUUGUCGUUUCUCCCUCUCAUUUCUUCAGCGAAACUGUUUAUUUAGGUUUUAGUUUCGUUCUUUCGCUUUCUUUGUAUCUCUAUUACUUACAUUGUUUUAAUAUCUUGUGAAGUAUCCAACUGCGAAGUGCGACAAUCAGAAGGCAACCCUAUAAUUCUUAAUUUUUGAGGAAUAGGGAGUGAUUAGAAGUAACAGAGUUGCAGUGAAACUCUCAUGGUCUAUUCAGACUUCUAGGCUUCAUUCUCAGAAUCCAAUGCAGUGAAAUCUAAAAAUGGUUGUUUCUUGGAUCAAAUCAAUUUGAGCUGAGGGUCUAUCGGAAACAGCCUCCCUACCUUGGGGGAGGCAAGCAUUGUACCUAGCAUCCUUAAUCCCUCCGAUUGUCACUUUCCACUAUAUGGGUAGUCUGGACGUCGUAUUGACAACACAUACCUACAAGGUUCUCCUGUAAACAUUCGGAUAGGCACUAAAGUAUUGGUUCCAGCCUUGCAGUUUUUGAGAAAGGAAUUAGAGACAUGAGACCCUGGGGGCAAAAAGAGGAUAAUCAUACCUCCAGAACUAGGACCUCUGAUGCAAUUGGAAUCAAGUAAGUUCGCGGAAAAUCCAGAAGAAAGAUCAAUGUUGUCUAUGGAAACAAAAAUGAUAUUAGAGAUGCCAGUUGGUGAUGGGAGGUCACUUAUUGCAAUUCCAUAGCAAAGCUAUCAAAUGAGUUGAGAAUAAUUGCUCGAAAUUUUCCUUCGCUUCAAACAAGUAGAAGGAACUCACACGAGAGGAGAAAGUACAAUGAUUAGAUGGACAUUGUAUUUUUCAAAACAAUCACAUUUUUAUCAUAGAAGAUAUUAGUUAGUCACAAAAUUGAAUAUAUUUGCGACAAAACAUAGUCUUUGUCCCUGGAAUAUUGCCUACUAAUCUAUAAUAUAAUUCAUUCUUUGACUACAAUUUAUAUUUGAAUUUAUUACAAUACUUUUUGUCACUAAUCACAACAAUAUAUAGUGACAAUUUUUUUUUAGCAGAAAUAAUAUUUUUAGCAACGAAAUAAUAGGUUCUAGCUACAAAAUUGCAUAUAACUUCAGAGACAAUUGAGAUCGUCACUAAUUAAACUAAAGUUUUAGUGACAAGCUAAUUUCAUCGGCAUUGAUAACAUUUUUAGCGACGAAAACACUCUUUCAACUACAAUUUUGAUGUACUUUUUUGACAAAUGAGUUUGUCACAAAUACUACGCAUUUGGGGACGAAAAAUAAUUUUGUAGCUAAUAUAAUUUUAUUUAGCGACGAAACACUAAGUUGUCUCCGUAUACAUUUAGCGACCCACGUUUAGGGACGAACAAUGAUGAAUUUUUUUUUGGUCAAGAAAGAUUUUUCGUGACGAAAUAUGAUGGUGAAGUGACAAAAUAAUUUGUCACUGAUAAUCGAAUUUGUUGUAGUGAUACUUGAUUUUUCAAAUUUUUAAGUGAAUUUUCAUAUUCCAAAACUACAAUUCUUACCCUAUAAAUUCAAGUACUCUUCUAAUACUAUUUUCAUAGAGACCUCUCUAUUUAUCCACAGAAAGAUUCCUUAUGCUACAAUUCUUAUGUGCAGAAGGCUAAAGGAGCUCUAAAUCAGUGAAACAAUGUCAAGACAGGAAGAUCUGUGGCAAAAGCUGUGAGGUCUGCUUAUGUGGUUGUGGGGAUAGUUCUUAUUUUAAGAAUUUGAUCGAAGGGUUAGCAACAGAGAUUGCGAGAGUGAGGAAGAAAGCGCUAGACUGCUAUGGAAUGGAGAUUGCGAGAGGAUGAAAGAGUGAAAGAAAAGUCAAAUUUGCUCCAGCUUUAAAUUUAAUGAAACGGAAGCAGACAUGUCGAAACUAAGCUCUUCUAUAUAAUAGAAAUGUGAUGGUGGAUAAAAAUAUCUUAUUUUUUGGACACAUUUUAUUAUAAUUAUCAGGAGGUCCAAAGGCCAAAGUAAUAGGUUAAUAUACAAAUGCUCGACAUUUUAUCAUUCAAAAUAAUAAUUAUUUUUAGUAGAUGAGUAAUUCUAUUUAAAAUUAAGUGGAAUUUAAAGAGUUUUCC